rnacentral:rRNA from 1 species
AUUGAACGCUGGCGACAGGCCUAACACAUGCAAGUCGAGCGAGCGGCGGACGGGUGAGGAAUGUCUGGGAACCUGCCUGAUGGAGGGGGAUAACUACUGGAAACGGUAGCUAAUACCGCAUACCAUCAGAUGUGCCCAGAGGGGAUUAGCUAGUAGGUGGGGUAACGGCUCACCUAGGCCACGAUCCCUAGCUGGUCUGAGAGGAUGACCAGCCACACUGGGACUGAGACACGGCCCAGACUCCUACGGGAGGCAGCAGUGGGGAAUAGUCAGCAAUGGACGCAAGCCUGAUGCAGCCAUGCCGCGUGUGUGAAGAAGGCCUUCGGGUUGUAAAGCACUUUCAGCGGGGAGGCGUUACCCGCAGAGGAAGCACCGGCUAACUCCGUGCCAGCAGCCGCGGUAAUAC